GACGCGCAAGUGCGGUUACUUUACGGGGUUAGAAUAAUAUUAUUGCUUCAUACUUUUCAUUUUUAAACCGUGUAAAAAACAAACAAGGCUGAGUAAAGUAGACAGCAUAUCCUUGUCUUUGGCUUUGUUCUGUUUUCCCUUCUCAACAACCUAUUGCUAUGGCAUCUCUCACUCGAAGAGAGAAGGAGAGAUGUCCCACAGCAGGGAACCGAAGGUAUUGGACAGAUGCGCCUCAAUGUAAAUCAUCCAGAUUUUACUCUGAGACUGGGAGCGGUACAGUACUUCACGAGGACUGUCRAUCAACAGAUCGCCCCUCUCCAGAGGGUGCCGGGUCCAACACCGACCGUCAUGGAGUUCCGUGGCCAAAAACGGUUGUCCCAUC